AAUGAACGCUGGCGGCAGGCCUAACACAUGCAAGUCGAACGGCAACACAGUGAGAGCUUGCUCUUACCGGUGGCGAGACGCGGACGGGAGAGGAGUAUAACCGACUCUACUCUUUCGUGGGGGAUCACGUAGGGAAAGUUACUCUCAUACCGCAUACGCCCUACGAGUGUAAGCAGGGGAUCUUCUCACCUUGCGCGAAUGAAUGAGCCGCUGUCGAAUUAGCUAGUGGGCGGGGUAAAGGCCAACUAAGGCGACGAUCCGUAGCUGGUCUGAGAGGAGGAUCGGCCACAUUGGAACGUAGACACGGUCCAGACUCCUACGGGAGGCAGCAGUGUGGAAUAUUGGACAAUGGUCGCAAGCCUGAUCCAGCCAGACCGCGUGGGUGAAGAAGGCCUUCGGGUUGUAAAGCCCGUUUGUUGGGAAAGAAAAGCAGUAGGUUAAUACCCCGCUGUAGUGACGGUACCCGAAGAAGAAGCACCGGCUAACUUCGUG
rnacentral:rRNA from 1 species